rnacentral:rRNA from 1 species
AUUGAACGCUGGCGGCAUGCUUUGCACAUGCAAGUCGAACGGCAGCAUGGGUGCUUGCACCUGAUGGCGAGUGGCGAACGGGUGAGUAAUGUAUCGGAACGUAUCCGGAAAUGGGGGAUAACGUAGCGAAAGUUACGCUAAUACCGCAUAUGCCCUGAGGGGGAAAGGUGGGGAUCGCAAGACCUAUCGUUUUCGGAGCGGCCGAUAUCAGAUUAGCUUGUUGGUGAGGUAAAGGCUCACCAAGGCGACGAUCUGUAGCUGGUCUGAGAGGACGACCAGCCACACUGGGACUGAGACACGGCCCAGACUCCUACGGGAGGCAGCAGUGGGGAAUUUUGGGCAAUGGGGGCAACCCUGAUCCAGCCAUGCCGCGUGAGUGAAGAAGGCCUUCGGGUUGUAAAGCUCUUUCGGACAGAAAGAAAUCGCACUUACUAAUACUAGGUGUGGAUGACGGUACCGUAAGAAGAAGCACCGGCUAACUACGUGCCAGCAGCCGCCGUAA